UUCCAUCCCUGCAACUGAAAAGUCCGAGGUGUCGGGACGUGCUCUCGGCGGCCUGAUUCCACCCCUUCACCCACCCACCACUUUCUAGGUGAAGUUAAGGCUCACCUUCGAAGUGAGGGGCAGAUGGUUUUCCUGGCGUCAGGUGGGAAGUGGAGGGCACAGGUGCAGAGCGAACUAAAUGGUCACAGAUCGACGGUAGCAUGAAGCCUUGAGAGGCGAGAGUCCUAGGAGCGGGGAUGGAAAGGAAGAAUUCCAAACGCCUUUCGGACUUAACAGAGGAGAGACCCCAACUAAGCACUUGCAGAGCGACUAGGAGUCCUGGCAGUUGGAAGGCGCAGCGCACGAGUUCAUCAAAUGGCUAUAUUGAAAGAUAGCCAAGCAUAAGAUGCUCUUUGCAGACUCCUAGAGCCCCCACCCCACCCCUUCCAGAAACAGAUGACAUUCUUCUACCAGGGAGACAUGAGGAGCUAACUUAGGAAAUGGGUUUUAAUAAUGUGUAAAUAUCACGAUUUCAGAGUCUAAGGAGCUUCUGUGUAAAAUGAUGAGCUUCUGUUUGGAUUUAGUUAGGGAUUCAGGGGAAGGGCAUGAAAAGUGACUUAUGCUACUAAUAAACACUCUUUAAUUAA
rnacentral:lncRNA from 1 species